UAAUACGGAGGGGGCUAGCGUUGCUCGGAAUUACUGGGCGUAAAGCGAGCGUAGGCGGUUAACCAAGUUGGGGGUGAAAGCCCGGGGCUCAACUCCGGAAAUGCCUUCAAAACUAGUUGACUAGAGGCCGGGAGAGGAGAGUGGAAUUCCCAGUGUAGAGGUGAAAUUCGUAGAUAUUGGGAAGAACACCAGUGGUGAAGGCGGCUCUCUGGACCGGUUCUGACGCUAAGGCUCGAAAGCGUGGGUAGCAAACAGGAUUAGAUACCCUGGUAGUCCACGCCGUAAACGAUGAGUGCUAGACGUUGGGAGGAACGCCUUUCAGUGUCGCAGCUAACGCAUUAAGCACUCCGCCUGGGGAGUACGAUCGCAAGGCUA
rnacentral:rRNA from 1 species